GCCCAUGUAUACAGUGAAAAUGUGCUUGGUGAAGACCUAAAUUUCAGUUUGAACCAAACUAAAAGCAGAUGCUCUGCUUUUCUUGCAAAUAUCGACGAACAUAGCUCCAUUACUAUAACAUUAUUUGGUCAAAAAUAUAAUUUACCACCUUGGUUAGUUAGUAUUUUACCAGAUUGCAGAAACACAGUGUUCAACUCUGCAAAGGUAGGUGUUUCUAUUCCUGUGCAUUGGCUAUUAAUGAAUGGGCAUUAACCAUUUCUUGCCAUAUACUCUGUACAAGGUUUGCCUACACAUCAAUGCACUAUUACCUAUAUAACCUAUCUGAUGCUAAUCUAUUUAUUUGAGGACGAGUGUUAAUAAUUCUACUAUAUGAAUAUUUUAUACGAAUUAAAACAACGUAAUGAAUAAUAACUCCAUGCUUGAAGAGAAAAUUAAAAAAAGGCCUAUAUCUUUAGAACUGCUAAGUCUGACUCUCAAUUUUUAUUCAGACACGUCCACGUAUUUUUCAGUUAUCACCUAAUUUUAGUAGUUUCUUUUUUUCUUUUUCCCACUCAACCAUUUGAUGAUAUGUUUGGAUGGUGAGAUUAAAGGUGAGAUGUUAGUCUGUCUGUCUCUCUUCUUUAUACAAUGAUGUAUUGAAAUUAGUUGAUACUGACUUUAUAUUCUAAUUACUUUAGUAAGAUUACUGAGAAUUUAACAUGGGGUUAAAAUACAUAAUUAGCAUGUGAAUAGGGAAACUUAACAAAGUGAAAAAUGAAAACGAUUGUUUUCCAUAGAGCGGCUACAUAAUCAAGAGGAGGAAAAGUGGCCUAGAAAGAUUUGUCGAAUUGAAGGCAUGUGAUGGAAGAAUGGUGAGAUUUUGAGAGGAUGCUUUUCCUGAAUUAGCCAGAUUAUCUUCAAAGAGAACAGCCACAAUAUAGAAUUUUCAGAAAUUUGAUAAAAUGAGAGGCAACAACUCGAACUGGAACUUUCAUUUUAUAAGAAAUCUAAAUGAUAGAGAAGUCCCUGUAUUUAUAGAGGUACUGUUCAUGUUGGGAAGGAGAAGCAUUUGUAGUUAUAUGCAAGAUAGGAGAGUGUGGUUGGGUGAUAGAUCUGAAGAAUUUUCCUGCAAGUCUAUUUUUGAAAGUCAGAUAAUUCUAUUUGGUAUUUCCCUCUGGCAAUUUUUUUUUUUUUGGAAAAGUCCUCAGUUCUAUCAAAAUUUAAGAGGCUUUGUCCUGUUGCUGUCUUUGGGGUGUCUAAUGUACAUGGGACAUUACAAAAAAGACCUUUCCAGGCUUUAUGGCUGGAAAGAAAUAGAAGGAUUUUCAAAGAAGUUGAGAUUAUGCGAUAAAAUCAGAUAUUGGGUAGCAAUUUGAUCAUAUAAUGUAAACGAGUUUAAGGGCAUUUUGUUCGCUGACCUAGUUAGGGGCUGGAAUUAGUUUUUGUAAUUUCCUUUGGUUUUUUGUUUGAUGUUGGCGUGUUUUGACCCACACUGUUCUUGUAUUAUUAUUUCCAGGUUUAUGUUUCUUUAAAAAUAAAUAGAGCUGCUACAGUAUCUGGAAUCAUUGUUAUUGUUUCACUACAUUGAGCUAUAUCAUACUAGGUUGAGCGACACACUAGGGAAAUUGUUUGCAUAUAUAAGUAGAACAUGAGAUCAAACUACCAAUUAGUAUGUGUAAUUGUCUUGGUGGCAGCUUAUUUUUUUCCUUUUUAAACUAUUUUCUGUCAUCUAAAAUUUAUUGAAAGCAUGAGAAGAGCUCUCUUCCUGGAAUAUAACUUAUAAUGGAAUAGAAAAGGAAACCGAAUAUAAAGAAACAAGAAAAAACACUGUCAUGUAUCCCUACUUCCUUACAUGGAAUUUAGCACUUACCUUUCCCGAUCACUAAGAUACAAGUUCCAAGCCAAUGUUUUAAUUUCUUUCUGAAUCUUUUUCAUAGUUUUCUUAUCAGUUUUAAUGGUACAUUAUGUAUAAGUUAUUGUUAUCAUCAUUAUUAUUAUUAUUAAUUUUUAUGUGAAACAAAUUUGUAUUAAUAAUGGAUGAUAUGCUGUGUAUUACUGUAGACAGCCUUUGAAAGACUGCUUCAAUCUAAAACAUCCAGUAAGACGUAAAACAUAAAAACUAUCACAAAAACUAACUCAUUACAACCACAAAUACCAAUGACCGAGAAGCAUUGAGAACGAUUAUGCCUUAAAAUGCUUACAGUUGAAAAUCCAUACAGCUAGGGGUGAGCAUCUAAACCGACAAACCGCGGUGACCGACCGCACCGCACCAUACUACACCGCAAACCGCGGUGUCAAAAGUGUAAUGGUUCGGUAUGGUUUGUAUUUUAGCUAAACCGUGCGGUGCGGUGCGGUGCGCGGUUUGGCGGUGUGAAAUUUUGGUUUGCACCGCACCGCACCGCAUACUUACAAAUAUAUUAAAAAAAAUAAACUUUACAUAUAUACAAUUUUUUAUAGUUAUCCAAUAUGGGAGACUUGUAUAUUUUUUUUGUGUUUCACUGAACUUAAUUGAUAACUUGUGAUGUUUUUUAGAACUUAUUAAUGAUUUGUUAUGAACUAAGGAUUUAGUAUUUUUUUAAAAAUUUAAAUUUUUUUAUGGUAUAUUUUUUAACACAAACCGUGGAAAACCGCCCAAACCACACUGCAAAAAAUGGUUUGGUUUGGUCGGUUUGGUGCAACCAAAUCACACCGCAUGGUGUGUUCUAGUUACUAAACUGCACUUGUGGCGUGGUGUAUUAAAAAGUGUUCAAACCGCCCAAACCACACCGUGCUCACCCCUACAUACAGCCAACCAAGGCUUAACUUUUUCCCAGAUAACUCCCGUGUCCUCUUCUCCUUCAUUGAAAAUUUUAUUUCUUUCUAAUCAUAUACUGCCUAAUGGUACUCUUUAUAGAAGUUCCAAGUACAUAUGACAUUUUAUUGUCACUUGUUAUCUUAUAUUUAUAUGGUGCAUUCUUGGAGAAAGAUGGAGCAGGGUUUAGAGGGCAAGUUAAACUUACUGGAUUUCAAAAUGGGGAUAUAGACCUCUCAAAGUCUUUAUGGACCUACCAGGUUGGGCUCAAGGGAGAAUUCUUGAAGAUAUAUGCUGCAGAAGAAAAUGAAAAGGCAGGGUGGACUGAUUUAACUCCAGAUGCUGAUCCAUCGAUAUUAAGAGAGUCGCCAUCUAUUUCAGUUCGGGAGUCACAAGAUGAUUCUUAGUUUAUUUACAUUAAUUUACUAAGGAAUGAAUUUUAUGAAGUUUUUUUUAUUUUGGUAGGGGUAACCUUAAAAUGAUAACUUUAUGAUUUAUUUUAGUAUUGAACAUUAUAAAGAAUUUUAGCAUUAAACAUUUUAUUAUUGAA